UCUCAGGCGCUCGGGUGAUGGGUUGUUAAGGAACUAGGCAAAUUAACCCCGUAACUUCGGGAGAAGGGGUGCCCAUGCAAAUGGGCCGCAGUGAAUAGCGUCAGGCGACUGUUUAACAAAAACACAGGUCUCUGCUAAGUCGAAAACGAUGUAUAGGGGCUGACGCCUGCCCGGUGCCGGAAGGUUAAAGGGAGUGGUUAGCGCAAGCGAAGCUACGAACUGAAGCCCCGGUGAACGGCGGCCGUAACAAUAACGGUCCUAAGGUAGAAAAUUCCUUGUCGGGUAAGUUCCGACCUGCACGAAUGGCGUAACGAUCUGACGACUGUCUCAACAACUCGCCCGGCGAAUUUGUGGUUCCGGUGAAGACGCCGGAUGCCCGCCACAAGACGGAAAGACCCAGUGCACCUUUACUAUACCCUAUCAGUGAAUUAUGGGUUGGACUGCGCAGGAUAGGUGGGAGGCUUUGAGAUCGGGUUUUUGGACUCGAUGGAGCCAACGGUGAGAUUCCACCCUGUGUAAUCUGUGAUUCUAACCUGCUUCCAUGAUCUGGAAGAGGGACACUGGUAGGCGGGUAGUUUGACUGGGGCGGUCGCCUCCUAAAUUGUAACGGAGGCGCUCGAAGCUGCGUUCAGGUGGUUUGGAAAUCCACCGACGAGUGCAAAGGCAUAAACGCGGUUAACUGCGAGACCUACAAGUCAAGCAGGUGGGAAACCAGGACUUAGUGAUCCGGUGGUUCUGUAUGGAAGGGCCAUCGCUCAACGGAUAAAAGGUACGCCGGGGAUAACAGGCUGAUCGGAGUCAAGAGUUCACAUCGACGCUCCGGUUUGGCACCUCGAUGUCGGUUCAUCGCAUCCCGGGGGUGUAGAAGCUCCCAAGGGUUAGGCUGUUCGCCUAUUAAAGCGGUACGUGAACCGGGUUUAGAACGUCGCGAGACAGUUCGGUCCCCAUCUGUGGUGGGCGCAGGAAAUUUGAGGGGGCUUGGCCUUAGUACGAGAGGACCGGGCUGAACGAACCUCUUGUGAUACAGUUGUCACUCCAGUGGCACAGCUGUGUAGCGAAGUUCGGUUAGGAUAAGCGCUGAAUGCAUAUAAGUGCGAAACCUUCCCCAAGAUGAGAUUUCCCAACCGUAAGGUAAUAAGGGCCGUGGAAGACUACCACGUUGAUAGGGCGGGUGUGUAAGAGUAGUAAUACUUUGAGCUAACCGUUACUAAUAGCCCGUUCGGCUUGAUCAA
rnacentral:rRNA from 1 species